rnacentral:rRNA from 1 species
CCGAAGCGUUAUCCGGAUUUAUUGCUGUUUAAAGGGAGCGUAGAUGGAUGUUUAAGUCAGUUGUGAAAGUUUGCGGCUCAACCGUAAAAUUGCAGUUGAUACUGGAUAUCUUGAGUGCAGUUGAGGCAGGCGGAAUUCGUGGUGUAGCGGUGAAAUGCUUAGAUAUCACGAAGAACUCCGAUUGCGAAGGCAGCCUGCUAAGCUGCAACUGACAUUGAGGCUCGAAAGUGUGGGUAUCAAACAGGAUUAGAUACCCUGGUAGUCCACACGGUAAACGAUGAAUACUCGCUGUUUGCGAUAUACUGCAAGCGGCCAAGCGAAAGCGUUAAGUAUUCCACCUGGGGAGUACGCCGGCAACGGUGAAACUCAAAGGAAUUGACGGGGGCCCGCACAAGCGGAGGAACAUGUGGUUUAAUUCGAUGAUACGCGAGGAACCUUACCCGGGCUUAAAUUGCAGAUGAAUUACGGUGAAAGCCGUAAGCCGCAAGGCAUCUGUGAAGGUGCUGCAUGGUUGUCGUCAGCUCGUGCCGUGAGGUGUCGGCUUAAGUGCCAUAACGAGCGCAACCCUUGUUGUCAGUUACUAACAGGUUCCGCUGAGGACUCUGACAAGACUGCCAUCGUAAGAUGUGAGGAAGGUGGGGAUGACGUCAAAUCAGCACGGCCCUUACGUCCGGGGCUACACACGUGUUACAAUGGGGGGUACAGAGGGCCGCUACCACGCGAGUGGAUGCCAAUCCCAAAAACCUCUCUCAGUUCGGACUGGAGUCUGCAACCCGACUCCACGAAGCUGGAUUCGCUAGUAAUCGCGCAUCAGCCACGGCGCGGUGAAUACGUUCCCGGGCCUUGCACACACCGCCCGU